GCCGAAGUGGCGGAACUGGCAGACGCGACGGAUUCAAAAUCCGUUGGGCUCACGCCUGUGUGGGUUCGAGUCCCACCUUCGGCACCA
rnacentral:tRNA from 1 species